UGUAAGUUUGCUGGUGCACACUCUGGUGGCCAGUCUUUCUACAGAGAGAACUCCUGGGUGCAUCAUGUAAAUAAGAAAUGUGUUUGCCAGGUAUUGCACACCAGUUUAAUUUUUAAUUGUAAUUUUUUAAGCUAAAAACACGUAUUCCACUCACUCAAGCAUCUUACAAGAGUAAUGGCUCCCAAACAGGUAUUUCUCAGUUACUAGUCUUCUGAUCUCAAAGGCUGACUCUGGGUUUGUUUGAUCGGAUACAGUUUCUGUUGAAUGUUUUUGGUCACAGCUCCCUAUCUGUUUAAAAAAGAAUAAGAAAAAGAAAACAAAAAAAUUAUUUUCUCUUUUGUUGGUUUAGUGAGAGGUGUCCCUGCCCAUGGCAGGGGGGUUGGAACUAGAUGAUCUUCAGGUCCUUUCCAAUCUUAACUAUUCUAUGAUUCUAUAUAAUAGACAUGGUAGGGCAAAUGCUCUUGGUACAGACUUGUGUCAUGCUCAGCAAAUGUGGUUUUGAGCAGUUACCAUGCCUUCUGGCCUUUACAGUCAUACAAAUAUCUCCAGUACAGCUAUGCAUGGGUUAAAGAUUGUUAGAAAUGUUUGUGUAUGCACAUAACCAUAAUGUUCAAUUCAGCACAUAGCCUCUGCUGACAAUAACACUUUGAUAGUUCUGCAUAUUCUGUCUUCUGAAUACAAUUUUAAUACCGGUUCUUCUUAAUACUCCUUCUCUUAUGUUGUCUGUGAUGUACAGUUAUGGAUUUUCUAGUUGCUCUUUUUGUUCAACAGGAAACGCCAGGCUUUUCUCACCUCAUUCUGCCCUUACUUCUGGUAGUGCUCUAUUACAUUGGCCACAGGUGUUGGAACUAAAAAUUCUGCUCCAUUUCCAGUCAAGCAAAUCUCCAUCCUGCAAUGUGCAGAGAAGAGGCCAGAGUACCGGGACACCCCAGUGACUGCAGAAGGGGAAGAAUGCUGCAAAACUCUUGACUCCAUGUAGAGCUCAAAAUGAGGACGUGAAGAAGAAAGAAGGAAAAAACGAUAGAAGUGGAUCUGCAGUACCCUUGUCAUGCCCUGAGACGCAGGGUCGUCAUUUCAGGUGGGAAACGCCUGUCCCUCAGGAAAAGAAGGCGAACUACUCCCUCUAUAGGCUUUCCCCUUUGUUGCUUUCAUGAACCGGACAUCCAGGGGAUCAGAGCUGCAUGCAAACUUAGAAGGCUGGCAAGAACUCUGAAGGCCCUGCUGCCACAAUUGCACCAGCACUGCAGUUUAUGGCAUCAUUCCAGUAAGAAAAGCAACCUGUAUUAAGAACAAUCCUGUAAAUAAAAAAGAUUAUUUAUAAUAGCUCAGUGACCUGAUUUACAGCACCAACAACAGUUGCAGAGCAGCAGGAGUGUGAAGAAUCAGCCAGAGGCAGGGCAGGGAUGGGAGGCAGAUGUUUGCAAGCUGGCCUUGCAAAUGAAGCCCCCUUUUGAAAAUGUGCAGCUGCCAGUGUACCUUUGCUCUGGUACAGGUCAGAGGGAAUUCUCCUGCAGUGUCUGAAGUAACACAUUAGGGAAGAACUGACACAUGGGUGAGUUAUAUAUUAACCACUAGAGAUGACCUUUCAGAGAGUGACAGAGUAACAAUCUCGCUGAUAAAGGAAAUAGCAACUUUUUCAUUUUGCAGAGCAUGGGUAUUCUUCCCAGUAAAAGACUGCACAGCUCUUCCCACUAAAUGAUACCAUUUUCAGUUCUUCCAUACUUUCUGAAAUGGAAUAAAUUGUUCAGAUGUUUUCAGUGCUAAAUAAAUGCCUCUUUCU